UGGGGAAUAUUGGACAAUGGGGGCAACCCUGAUCCAGCAAUGCCGCGUGAGUGAAGAAGGCCUUAGGGUUGUAAAGCUCUUUCGCCCGCGAAGAUGAUGACGGUAGCGGGAGAAGAAGCCCCGGCUAACUCCGUGCCAGCAGCCGCGGUAAUACGGAGGGGGCUAGCGUUGUUCGGAAUUACUGGGCGUAAAGGGCGCGUAGGCGGUUUACCAAGUCAGGCGUGAAAGGCCUGGGCUCAACCCGGGAACUGCGCUUGAUACUGGUUGAACUUGAGUCCGGGAGAGGAUGGCGGAAUUCCCAGUGUAGAGGUGAAAUUCGUAGAUAUUGGGAAGAACACCGGUGGCGAAGGCGGCCAUCUGGACCGGAACUGACGCUGAGGCGCGAAAGCGUGGGGAGCAAACAG
rnacentral:rRNA from 1 species